rnacentral:rRNA from 1 species
AUUGAACGCUGGCGGCAGGCCUAACACAUGCAAGUCGAACGGCAGCACAGAAGAGCUUGCUCUUUGGGUGGCGAGUGGCGGACGGGUGAGUAAUGUCUGGGAAACUGCCCGAUGGAGGGGGAUAACUACUGGAAACGGUAGCUAAUACCGCAUAACGUCGCGAGACCAAAGUGGGGGACCUUCGGGCCUCACACCAUCGGAUGUGCCCAGAUGGGAUUAGCUAGUAGGUGGGGUAAUGGCUCACCUAGGCGACGAUCCCUAGCUGGUCUGAGGGGAUGAACAGCCAGACUGGAACUGAGACACGGUCCAGACUCCUACGGGAGGCAGCAGUGGGGAAUAUUGCACAAUGGGCGCAAGCCUGAUGCAGCCAUGCCGCGUGUAUGAAGAAGGCCUUCGGGUUGUAAAGUACUUUCAGCGGGGAGGAAGGCGGUGAGGUUAAUAACCUUGCCGAUUGACGUUACCCGCAGAAGAAGCACCGACUAACUCCGUGCCAGCCGCCGCCGUAA